GCCCAGAGGUGUGUCUGUUGUUUUCAGCCAAUCACAAGGCAUUUCUGGUGAGAAAUCUUUUACCUUUACCUAGUGACCAAAGCCCUUCCCUGCUAGGUUACACCUUUGAUGAAUGGGUUGAUUCACUGGAAAGGUCUGGGCCUUCUGUGUUUUACAUUAAUUGGGGCAGACACUUCUAUCCCCACCCUAACAAAACACCCUUCUGGACACAAUGAACGCAAUACAAAGAAAGCCCAACUCUGCGGUUGGUACUGGUAAUUCCACAGUGAAGGCAUCACUUCUUUGUGAGUUACAGAGAAGAUUCUUAGAACGUCAGAAUAAGAGAAUGUCAGACCUGAUGAUGUAGCACCAGG
rnacentral:lncRNA from 1 species